rnacentral:lncRNA from 10 species
GGAAAAUAGUUCAGCAGUUUCUUUAAAAAUUAAACACAUACUUACCAUAUGACCCAGCAAUCACACUCCUGGACAUUUAUCCCAGAGAAAUGAAAAUUUAGGUCCACAGAAAAACCUGCAAGCAAUUUUUCAAGACAGUUUUAUUUGUAAUAGGCACUCCCCCCGCCCAAAAAAAGAAGGAACCAAAAUGUAUGAUAGGUGAAUGCUGAAUGAUUAAACAAACUGUGUUACACCCAUAGUGUAGAACUCAGUAACAGAAAGGAACAAACUAGAAAUACCUGCAAUAACUUGGAUAAAUCUCUAGGGCAUUCUGCUGAGUUGGGUGGGGUGGGGGGGUGGGGGGGAUGGUGAGCUAAUCUUAGAAGGUCACAAGCUGUGAGGACCAAUUUAUAAAACAUUCCCCAAACGACAAAAUUAUAGAAAUGGAGAACAGACUGAUGGUUGCAAAGGGUUAGGGAUGGUGUGGGGGAAAGAAAGGGACGACCAUAAAGGGACUGUAUGAGAGAGAUCUUCGUGCUGGGAAGGGAGUUUGCAUCUUCUGGACUCAUAGAUCAGACAAAUGAGCAGCUUCAACAAAGCAGAUUU